rnacentral:rRNA from 1 species
UGGGGUAAAAGCGUACCAAGGCGACGAUCAGUAGCUGGUCUGAGAGGAUGAUCAGCCACACUGGGACUGAGACACGGCCCAGACUCCUACGGGAGGCAGCAGUGGGGAAUUUUCCGCAAUGGGCGAAAGCCUGACGGAGCAACGCCGCGUGAGGGAGGAAGGCUUUUGGGUUGUAAACCUCUUUUAUCAAGGAAGAUAAUGACGGUACUUGAUGAAUCAGCAUCGGCUAACUCCGUGCCAGCAGCCGCGGUAAUACGGAGGAUGCAAGCGUUAUCCGGAAUAAUUGGGCGUAAAGCGUUCGUAGGUGGUUUUGCAAGUCUGCUGUUAAAGCGUGUAGCUUAACUACAUAAUGGCGGUGGAAACUGCAAAACUAGAGUGCGUUCGGGGCAGAGGGAAUUCCUGGUGUAGCGGUGAAAUGCGUAGAUAUCAGGAAGAACACCGGUGGCGAAGGCGCUCUGCUAGGCCGCAACUGACACUGAGGGACGAAAGCUAGGGGAGCGAAUGGGAUUAGAUACCCCAGUAGUCCUAGCUGUAAACGAUGGAUACUAGGCGUGG